rnacentral:lncRNA from 1 species
UGGAAAUUGAGGAGGCCCAGAACAGGCUGCUUGAAAGCUAAAGAAUCCGGGAUGCCAGUAGCAUGGCUCAGUCCAAAUCUAAAGGCCUGAGAACCUCAGGUAGAGGAGGAUUCUGAUGUAAUUCCUGGAGUUCAAAAGCCAAAGACUCUAGAGUUCUGAUAUCCAAGGGAGGAGAAGAAGAAUGUAUGCCAGCUCCUGGAGACAGAGAGAUGCAAGCAAAGUAAGUACCUGUGGCCAAAGAAUGGAAAGUCAUGAGUUCCUGGGCAAGAAGUCAUCUACCAUAGAUAAGCUCUGUGGUUUAAUUCUCCCUCGUUUCAAAGGCAAGAGAUCGCAACACUGACAGAGGCAGGAAAGCACUGUGGGAAGGGAAGGAGCGUCAGACUCUGGGACGCCCUUUACAGGAUAAAAUACUUGAGGCUGAAGAAGGUAUGAUUCACCUCGGUCAUGGAACAAAGGCACAGUGAGACUACAAUCAGAUGUGUUCUGCCUGUUCAGUCAGCCACCUGAAGCUGACCCCCG